CUUAUCGGAUUCACUUUUGUUUUUCUCAUCUGAAAAAGGAUGUUAUUCACAACUCAAUUCUUCAACUGUUUAUCUUCCUUCACCUCUCUUUCUCCAUAUCUCAUUAAAUCUCUUCUUCGUCGCAACAGACGUGAUCCUUGGAACCGUCGCAAUUCCCUUCCCCUUUCACCCUAUAGAAUCACAUCAAGCAAUGGCUUCCGAAAUGCAAAAUCCACCUAGAGAAAUAAUUCUACAGUCUCAUUAACCAAAGAAAUCAACCGAGUUGUGGAUCACUCUCGAACCAUUUGUUUCAUUCACAUCUCUGAUCUCCCCGAGUUGGAAGACACCCGUUUGGGCUCAAAGGCGAUCUCUAUUCGUUAAUAAACCACAAAACAUAUGUUAAAUCAAGGUUAAAAUAUGGUUGGAACAGAUGGAGGCAGCAAACUACCCUGGGAAGAACCAACAACCAAUGUAGUUUUUUUCAGAUUACAUCUCAUCUGAGAAAUGAGAAUAUCACAUAUGUUGAUGAUCAUUUUCAUGAUAUCUCCAAGUAAGCUAAAUACACAUGAACCAAAAAAAACUACAACAUUUGUGUAGACGAUUGUAGCAUCUGACUGUAAUUGCAGGGACUGGCUAUACUCUGAAGUUUCAACUGUAUACAGGUUACAUACUACAAGAUAUGAUAAGAGGAAGAACAGUUCGAUGCAACAGUUUAAGAUGGCAUUGUCAUAUGAUCCAUUGCGCUGGGAAUCAUAUGGAGGAAUUUGUAGUUUAGGUGUCUUUGAAGAAUCCUUCCACAGUUCUCUGCAAUGUAGCUUCCCAGCUUCUCAGAAAACAUUGAUUUCACAAAGAAUAAACUUCUCAGAAGGAGAAACCAUGGACCAGCUUUGAUUGGCAAACAGAACAUGUUCCAGGAGAGUAACAACAUGAUCUGAUAUUAAAGCAGCUUAGAGCAGAGAUUCCGCCAGAUACUGACAAGCAACGUGACCGUAUUUCUCAUACACAUGUGAAAUAUCUUAAAGUUAAACUAGAAUGAGAGCGUAUUAGGUAUUGGAUGCUCCACUGCCUAAGCUCUAUAAGAAUAUGUGCCAUCCAAAAUGAGAGGGAUUGAUGUCCGUACAUGGAGUCUUAAAAAUAUUUCUGCGCAUUGUGCAUAUUUUGAUAUAGAGGUUCUGCACCUGAUUUCCUCUUCCAGCUCUAUGGCUGAAUUUAUUUGUUCUUUUAUUUCAGUGACAAUCUAAUGCUACUUGAUUUAUUUGUCGUCUUUUAAUUUCACAUCUUCUAUCUUUAAAGCCCCAGAAGAAUCUGAGCAUCACAGGAGUGGUUAAAUAGCAACAAGGAGAAAGAUUCAUAUAUAUCAGUCAGCUGGAUUGCUCUCAUCUCCGGUUUCAGGUACCAUGCACCAUCAGAAGCUGGUGCGGAUAUUCUUUUGGAUUCUUUGUCAAUGGGAGGGCUUACUGCUGCGCAAAACAGCUUACUGGAUGGAGACUUACUAUUUAUUCACGAGAAUAAUGCUUCAAUAGCCACCAUCGAAUCAUUUUCAUCAACUUCUCCCUUUGCUUCUACUUCAAUGAUGGAUUUAUAGGACGUAUUUUCUCCCUCACCUCAAAAAGGGGACAAGGGUCCAACAUUUCCAUCCCUUUUUGCAUUGGAGAGCAGUACUUAACAAAUAUAAUGUGCCAUUUGAAUUGUGAGAUAUUACUCUAGAUGUGUCCGCUUUCUUUUACAUGCUGCAGUUCCAAAAGUCAGAUCUAAAUCUGAUCUCAUCUAAAUCUUUUUUAAUUCUUUGGAUCUCUAUCUUCCUCAAUCACCACCACCACACGACGACCCGUUUGUUUUCGCCGUCCCAGCAUCACAACCACCACCACACGACCGUUCGUUCGCCGUCCCAGCAUCACCACCACCACACAACCACGGUUAGAACUCAUCUCUCUCUCUCUCUCUCUCUCUCUGUUUUGAACUUUUUUUAGGGAUAGAGGAAGCAAGGCAAGGCAGGUAUAGUGGCUGGAGGAGGAAGAUGACGGCUUCAGAUUCAGGAAGAGGAAGCUGACGGCGAGUUGGUGAGGAGGCGACGAGAUUAGGUCUAGAUGGAUGUGACGUUUGCCUCCUCUCUGCAACUUGCCUCUCACAUCCCAGGAUGAAGAAGAAGAAUCAUGGCUGGAUACUGAUGAAGGUCAUGGAAAAACACGAAGACGAAGGUGGUGGUGCGGCCGAUAGAUGAAGAAGACAACGAAGUGGUGGUGUGUUUAGUUAGUAAUUUGGUUAAAGCCUGGUUUAGUUUUUGGUUUAUUUAGUUUGUUGGUUUAUUAUUUAAUCUGAUUUUUUUUGUAUUUUUGUAAACCAAUUUAAUUAUAGAUAAAUUUAAGUAAUAAAGAAAAUUUGAUUUUAUGAAUAA